AAGCUGUGUCACUGUGUUAUGUGUUCAGCAGAAGGACCCAGGUGACUGUCCUAGGCUGGACCACCCAUGGGGCCCAGGACAUUCCAGCAGCUCGGCUUCACGGGCUCUUAAAUCUGGGAACCACUUCAAUUCCUCAGCCGAUGGCAGAUUCAGAGAUGUAAGAGGAAUAGGAGGAAGCCAGGAAGGAAACUCGCACAAAAGCCCUGUCUGAAGGCUCAGAUACUUGCCAAAAUAAGCUCUGAGCUCCCCAGGAACCAGCACAAGGAGGGAAAUAGGUGCCUCACCAUUUCUCUGAGAAGAAACAAAGCCUUUGCUGGAGGGCCCCUGGUGUCUCAAUGCUGAGGCCAGGCAUCUUGUACCAUAAUAAAAGGUGGGAUGUGUUUUACCAGAGGCCUCCCCACUAAUGGGA